GCCCUAGUGGUACAAUAGUUAAGCACUUGGCUGCUAACCAAAAGGUUGGUGGUUCUAACCCACCUAGCGGCU
rnacentral:tRNA from 1 species